UACGAAGGGUGCUAGCGUUGUUCGGAAUGACUGGGCGUAAAGGGUGCGUAGGCGGUAAGAUGCGUCUGAUGUGAAAUCCCUGGGCUUAACCUAGGAACUGCAUUGGAUACGGUCUUACUAGAGUCCGCGAGAGGAAGAUGGAAUUGUGCGUGUAGAGGUGAAAUUCGUAGAUAUGCACAAGAACACCGGUGGCGAAGGCGAUCUUCUGGAGCGGUACUGACGCUAAGGCACGAAAGCGUGGGGAGCAAACAGG
rnacentral:rRNA from 1 species